rnacentral:rRNA from 1 species
AUGGUUAGGAGUGUACCGAUUGGUGAGAAGCUCUUCAUAGGAGGAGACCUCAAUGGCCACGUGGGUACAUCUAACACAGGUUUUGAAGGGGCGCAUGGGGGCUUUGGCUAUGGCAUCAGGAAUCAAGGAGGAGAAUAUGUCUUAAGCUUUGCUCUAGCCUACAACAUGAUUGUAGCUAACACCCUCUUUAGAAAGAGAGAAUCACAUCUGGUGACUUUUAGUAGUGGCCAACACUCUAGCCAGAUUGAUUUCAUCCUCUCGAGAAGAGAAGAUAGGCGUGCGUGCCUAUACUGUAAGGUGAUACCUGGAGAGAGUGUUGUACCCCAGCAUAAGCUGGUGGUUGCUGACUUCCGCUUUUGGAUUCGUGUCCAGCGGAAUAAGCAUGUCAAAGUCGUUAGAACGAAGUGGUGGAAGCUCAAGGGGGAGGUAGCUCAGGCGUUCAAGGAGAGGGUCAUUAAGGAGGGCCCUUGGGAGGAAGGAGGGGAUGCGGACAAUGUGUGGAUGAACAUGGCGACUUGCAUCCGUAAGGUGGCCUCGGAGGAGUUUGGAGUGUCCAGGGGAAGGAGAAGCGAAGAUAAGGAUACCUGGUGGUGGAAUGAUGAGGUCCAGAAGGCGAUCAAAGAGAAGAAAGAUUGCUUCAGAUGCCUAUACCUGGAUAGGAGUGCAGACAACAUAGAGAAGUACAAGAUGGCGAAGACGCAAAGCGAGCUGUUGGUGAAGCAAGGGAUCGGGCAUAUGAGGACCUCUACCAACGGUUAG